CUGGCAGUUCCCUACUCUCGCAUGGGGAGACCCCACACUACCAUCGGCGCUACGGCGUUUCACUUCUGAGUUCGGCAUGGGGUCAGGUGGGACCACCGCGCUACGGCCGCCA
rnacentral:rRNA from 1 species